rnacentral:rRNA from 1 species
GACGAACGCUGGCGGCGUGCUUAACACAUGCAAGUCGAACGGAAAGGCCCUGCUUUUGUGGGGUGCUCGAGUGGCGAACGGGUGAGUAACACGUGAGUAACCUGCCCUUGACUUUGGGAUAACUUCAGGAAACUGGGGCUAAUACCGCAUAGAAGCUCCUGCUGCAUGGUGGGGGUUGGAAAGUUUCGGCGGUUGGGGAUGGACUCGCGGCUUAUCAGCUUGUUGGUGGGGUAGUGGCUUACCAAGGCUUUGACGGGUAGCCGGCCUGAGAGGGUGACCGGCCACAUUGGGACUGAGAUACGGCCCAGACUCCUACGGGAGGCAGCAGUGGGGAAUAUUGCACAAUGGGCGGAAGCCUGAUGCAGCAACGCCGCGUGCGGGAUGACGGCCUUCGGGUUGUAAACCGCUUUCGCCUGUGACGAAGCGUGAGUGACGGUAAUGGGUAAAGAAGCACCGGCUAACUACGUG